UAACGGUCCUAAGGUAGCGAAAUUCCUUGUCGGGUAAGUUCCGACCUGCACGAAUGGCGUAAUGAUGGCCAGGCUGUCUCCACCCGAGACUCAGUGAAAUUGAACUCGCUGUGAAGAUGCAGUGUACCCGCGGCAAGACGGAAAGACCCCGUGAACCUUUACUAUAGCUUGACACUGAACAUUGAGCCUUGAUGUGUAGGAUAGGUGGGAGGCUUUGAAGUGUGGACGCCAGUCUGCAUGGAGCCGACCUUGAAAUACCACCCUUUAAUGUUUGAUGUUCUAACGUGGACCCGUUACCCGGGUUGCGGACAGUGUCUGGUGGGUAGUUUGACUGGGGCGGUCUCCUCCUAAAGAGUAACGGAGGAGCACGAAGGUUGGCUAAUCCUGGUCGGACAUCAGGAGGUUAGUGCAAUGGCAUAAGCCAGCUUGACUGCGAGCGUGACGGCGCGAGCAGGUGCGAAAGCAGGUCAUAGUGAUCCGGUGGUUCUGAAUGGAAGGGCCAUCGCUCAACGGAUAAAAGGUACUCCGGGGAUAACAGGCUGAUACCGCCCAAGAGUUCAUAUCGACGGCGGUGUUUGGCACCUCGAUGUCGGCUCAUCACAUCCUGGGGCUGAAGUAGGUCCCAAGGGUAUGGCUGUUCGCCAUUUAAAGUGGUACGCGAGCUGGGUUUAGAACGUCGUGAGACAGUUCGGUCCCUAUCUGCCGUGGGCGCUGGAGAACUGAGGGGGGCUGCUCCUAGUACGAGAGGACCGGAGUGGACGCAUCACUGGUGUUCGGGUUGUCAUGCCAAUGGCACUGCCCGGUAGCUAAAUGCGGAAGAGAUAAGUGCUGAAAGCAUCUAAGCACGAAACUUGCCCCGAG
rnacentral:rRNA from 1 species